GUUUCUUCCUAAAUAAAAGCAAAUGCUAACUUUUAAAAGAAUUGCACCUAAUAUCUAAAAGUCAUCCACCUCCAAGAGGAUUGAUACAUGGUAAUAUUUCAUCUUAACAACCUUCAUCUUCCAGUGAUUUGGAUGAGAACAAAAGGAAAACAGAAUUCUUCAAAUAGAGGACAAACAUUCACAGUGAGAAUGAACAACAGAAUCUGUGAUUGGUUGUACACAGCAAAGCCUCACUUUUGAUGUUCUCUCAAGCUAGCACAAUUGAUUCUGUAGAAGAUGAGAGAGGCCUUGUUCUGCUGCAUGCUCAGAACCAAUCACUGCCAGGGACCCUGCAGCUGCC